rnacentral:rRNA from 1 species
AUUGAACGCUGGCGGCAGGCUUAACACAUGCAAGUCGAGCGGGGGGAGGUAGCUUGCUACCGGACCUAGCGGCGGACGGGUGAGUAAUGUUUAGGAAUCUGCCUAUUAGUGGGGGACAACAUCUCGAAAGGGAUGCUAAUACCGCAUACGUCCUACGGGAGAAAGCAGGGGAUCUUCGGACCUUGCGCUAAUAGAUGAGCCUAAGUCGGAUUAGCUAGUUGGUGGGGUAAAGGCCUACCAAGGCGACGAUCUGUAGCGGGUCGGAGAGGAUGAUCCGCCACACUGGGACUGAGACACGGCCCAGACUCCUACGGGAGGCAGCAGUGGGGAAUAUUGGACAAUGGGGGGAACCCUGAUCCAGCCAUGCCGCGUGUGUGAAGAAGGCCUUAUGGUUGUAAAGCACUUUAAGCGAGGAGGAGGCUACUUUAGUUAAUACCUAGAGAUAGUGGACGUUACUCGCAGAAUAAGCACCGGCUAACUCUGUGCCAGCCGCCGCCGUAA